GUGCCAGCAGCCGCGGUAAUACGUAGGGGGCGAGCGUUGUCCGGAUUUACUGGGCGUAAAGCGCGUGUAGGCGGUCCCUUAAGUCCGGGGUGAAAGGCGGAGGCUCAACCUCCGAGCUGCGCCGGAAACUGGGGGUCUUGAGUGUCGGAGAGGGGAGUGGAAUUCCUGGUGUAGCGGUGAAAUGCGUAGAGAUCAGGAGGAACACCGGUGGCGAAGGCGGCUCCCUGGCCGAACACUGACGCUGAGACGCGAAAGCGCGGGGAGCGAACGGGAUUAGAAACCCCAGUAGUCC
rnacentral:rRNA from 1 species